AAACGACAGAUACCCCUUCAACAGACUCACAGUCCAAAAGCCCAGCUCUGGCUGGCACCCGGAGAGGCAGGGUGGCCAUCGAGCCAUGGGAACUUGUAGCAUCCCCCCACCUGGUGCACGGCUCCACCUGGCAAUGGCAAGGGGCCCAGUGGGACAGAAAUGGGCGAAAUCUCCAGCACCGAACCCAAACCUGCAAGGCCUACCCUGUGCAGCCCAGUGCUGCACAGGGAGCAGGAGGCAGGUGGGGCUGAGCAGUGGGGUUGGCACCAGCGGGCAUCUCAGCACCCUUGGGGCCACCGGUGCCGCCACCAACCCAUUGCCACGCAACGGUGAGGUGACACAUCCCUCGUCCCCAACUUCUCCGGACCGGCCCAGCAGGCGGCUCUGGAAACCUUAGAAGAAGAGGUAACAUGGGCAUCUCUGCAUCAUACCUCCAAUGUUUAUCAGCCCUUUCUGAAUUGCACUGCUGCUCUCUUGAAGGCUUGACAGAAGCUACAUACUGUGUGCCUGAGGUGCGGUAGCAUACAAACUCGUGCCAGAGAAGGCAGGGAUAAGAGCUACAGGCUGGCUCAUAAGGUCCACCACAGGUGGUCCUGUUGUAGGUCACAUUGGUUGAACAGUGUUGUUACCAAACUGUGAUAUUUCCAGUGAGUUAUUCUGACAGCCAGAUAAACCUUCAGCUAAAUAAAUAACAGGCAUAGCCUUCAACCAACCAAAUGCAACUGUUUAAUUAAUGUGCUUAUUCUAAGUAAAU
ensembl:lncRNA